UCAGCGAAACUCGCAGCU
rnacentral:snRNA from 1 species